CCAUGCAAGGGGACAUCCCACACAGAGGGACACAGUAUAACCAAUCAGUUACAGGAAAACAGUAAAACACACCCAGCACAAAUAUACAAUUCCCUCCCCUAGUUCUGGAGAUAAUCAAGUCUGAUAAAGUAAUAACUUGAUUAUCUCCAGGCAGAAAAAUCAAAAUUUCCCCAAUAUCCAGAACACCCCUUUAUACAUGGGGUAUCCCCACAAAUAAUAUGUCCCCUGAUAGCCCCGAUCUGGGUGACCAACAUAUUCAAAUUUCACCCAGAUCGGUUCAGGGGUUCUCAAAAAGUGUGGAAGUCAUUUGUGACCGGCUAACCGCGAGGUGGCUGCCCAAAACAGUUCCAGGAGUUUGGGUGGUUUUGCCGGUCUUAUUCAGUUAAGUUGCAAAAACUGAAUAAUUCCACGAAUGGAUUCCCCUGGCUCUUAGCAGCGAUUGUUACCCUCAUUUGAAUGCACAAAAG